GCUCCGGUGGCCUAGCGGUUAGGGCGUCCGCAUCGUGUGCGAGAAUUCGCUGGUUCGAAACCCGGUUGAGUCA